GAUGAACGCUGGCGGCGUGCCUAAUACAUGCAAGUCGAGCGAACGGACGAGAAGCUUGCUUCUCUGAUGUUAGCGGCGGACGGGUGAGUGACACGUGGAUAACCUACCUAUAAGACUGGGAUAACUUCGGGAAACCGGAGCUAAUACCGGAUAAUAUUUUGAACCGCAUGGCUCAAAAGUGAAAGACGGUCUUGCUGUCACUUAUAGAUGGAUCCGCGCUGCAUUAGCUAGUUGGUAAGGUAACGGCUUACCAAGGCAACGAUGCAUAGCCGACCUGAGAGGGUGAUCGGCCACACUGGAACUGAGACACGGUCCAGACUCCUACGGGAGGCAGCAGUAGGGAAUCUUCCGCAAUGGGCGAAAGCCUGACGGAGCAACGCCGCGUGAGUGAUGAAGGUCUUCGGAUCGUAAAACUCUGUUAUUAGGGAAGAACAUAUGUGUAAGUAACUGUGCACAUCUUGACGGUACCUAAUCAGAAAGCCACGGCUAACUACGUG
rnacentral:rRNA from 1 species